rnacentral:rRNA from 1 species
GACGAACGCUGGCGGCGUGCCUAACACAUGCAAGUCGAACGGAAAGGCCCUGCUUUUGUGGGGUGCUCGAGUGGCGAACGGGUGAGUAACACGUGAGUAACCUGCCCUUGACUUUGGGAUAACUUCAGGAAACUGGGGCUAAUACCGGAUAGGAGCUCCUGCUGCAUGGUGGGGGUUGGAAAGUUUCGGCGGUUGGGGAUGGACUCGCGGCUUAUCAGCUUGUUGGUGGGGUAGUGGCUUACCAAGGCUUUGACGGGUAGCCGGCCUGAGAGGGUGACCGGCCACAUUGGGACUGAGAUACGGCCCAGACUCCUACGGGAGGCAGCAGUGGGGAAUAUUGCACAAUGGGCGGAAGCCUGAUGCAGCAACGCCGCGUGCGGGAUGACGGCCUUCGGGUUGUAAACCGCUUUCGCCGGUGACGAAGCGUGAGUGACGGUAAUGGGUAAAGAAGCACCGGCUAACUACGUG